AGAGUUUGAUCCUGGCUCAGGAUGAACGCUAGCGGCAGGCCUAAUACAUGCAAGUCGAGGGGUAACAUGAGAGCUUGCUCUUGAUGACGACCGGCGGACGGGUGCGUAACGCGUAUGCAACCUACCCACAACAGGGGGAUAGCCCGGAGAAAUUCGGAUUAAUACCCCAUAAUGCAGGGGUACCGCCUGGUACUAUUUGCUAAAGAUUUAUCGGUUGUGGAUGGGCAUGCGUCUGAUUAGUUAGUUGGUGAGGUAACGGCUCACCAAGACCACGAUCAGUGGGGGGUCUGAGAGGAUGAUCCCCCACACUGGCACUGAGAUACGGGCCAGACUCCUACGGGAGGCAGCAGUAGGGAAUAUUGGGCAAUGGGCGAGAGCCUGACCCAGCCAUGCCGCGUGAAGGAUGAAGGCCUUCUGGGUUGUAAACUUCUUUUAUACAGGAAGAAAAAGGUCAUGCGUGACCAAUUGACGGUACUGUAUGAAUAAGCACCGGCUAACUCCGUGCCAGCAGCCGCGGUAAUACGGAGGGUGCAAGCGUUGUCCGGAUUUAUUGGGUUUAAAGGGUGCGUAGGCGGUACGCUAAGUCAGUGGUGAAAUCCCGCAGCUCAACUGCGGAACUGCCAUUGAUACUGGCGUACUUGAGUACAGACGAGGUAGGCGGAAUUUAUGGUAGCGGUGAAAUGCAUAGAUACCAUAAAGAACACCGAUAGCGAAGGCAGCUUACUAGACUGUAACUGACGCUGAGGCACGAAAGCGUGGGGAGCGAACAGGAUUAGAUACCCUAGUAGUCC
rnacentral:rRNA from 1 species